AAAUCAUGGUGUGGGAACUUUCUUAAAUGCUCUCUGAAUUGCUCCUAAGCAUCAUAUAGGGAUUCAAACUCACAUUGCUAAUAGUUGGUGAUUUUUGAAAUGAGCUU